GGCGGCAGCUCGUGCAACGGGCAGCGCUGCAGGGCGGCGGGCGGUGCUCUCUCCCGUCUCCCCGCAGCGGUAGCCCCCGCACCGCCCCGCGAGCAGCGGACGAAAGGGGAUGGGUGGGCUGACGGGAGAGCGCCUCUGAGGGGCCGCGAGGGUGCGGCGUGCCCGGCUCCCGUCUUCUCCCUCUGGCACCUUGGCCUGGCGGCUCCUGCGGCUCGUUGCGCAGCUGUACGCCCGUGGCCCUGAGAGGAGCUGCCAAGCUUAACUUUCAACAGAGAGGAACAUGUUGCCAGUCUCUUUGCUUGGAAAAAGGCAUAAGCUUCCUGGUGUGCUCCUGAUCUACGUUUCAUUGAGAUUUGCACUGUGGGACCCUUCUUGACAUUCUGCAGAAAAGUGGCACUGUAAUCCAGAGCACAAAUUGAGGAUAUUCUGGGACAGCAAUUAUGGUCUUAAUCUGCCUGAACAAAUUUGCAAAAUUUCACCUGCUUUAUGGGAAAACAUUGCACACCUGAUGGGGAAUCAUUACAGAAAUGUUCCUGUUUCACCACCAGCGAAAGCAAACCAGCAGCAUUCCCUUCUCCAUACAGAUCUUUCACUGUAAAGGAAGCAAUUAAAAAUUUCACUCCUAACCACAACUUAUUACAAUAAACAAUUCUCCUUUCGUAUAUCUGUUCUAAGUCUCCGGUGAGAAAUUUCAUCUGAUGACAGCACUAGGCUCAAACUUUCAUAGACACAGUUCCACCCAAGAAACUCCCAAGUCUUCAGAUGCAAAUGAACCUAUGAAAAUACUAACAGCCAUGGGAGUGGGUGCAUAACAAACUUUCAUCAGAAAGAAAUUGUGGUGCCUCACUCCAUAGGUGUUAUAUUAACUGUCAGGAAUUCAGGCACUGGCCUGCAGGUGAAGACAAUUAAGUUAUCCUACCAGAUCUGGAAUGUGUUGGGAGCAAUUCAGUGACUAGUUGUAAAGGAAGGAAGGAAUGUGUCCUGCUUUUCCUUGUUAGGGCUUGCUACCACCCUAGGGAUAAGUGAACUGUUUAUUUUCCUCUUUAAGGAAAAAAAAAGUUUUAUGUUCCACCUAAAGCAGGCAAUCUGAACAGCUUAACCCUUUCCAGCUUUGUCUGCUGUAUUCAAUCUUUCUAUUUUUAAAUUCUAUGAGUGCAAACCAGGAAAGUUCUGAUUUAACCUAACACCUGCCUAUAAGCUUCUCUGUCUCUGCUACAAAAGCUACAGGGAAUCAGUACUUCCCAUGGGGCAAGGGAAGAAUCAAUUUCUGGUUUCCAUCUCCAGUGCAGAAACAGUGACACAUGUCCAGAGCGGCAGCAGAUUAUCCCAUAUUUGGUAACACUGCUACAUUGAAAAUUGAAAACAGAACUUCACAAAAGCAAAAAAAAAACAAUGGAAUUUUAACUAAAGCCCUGUGGCACCAUACUAAGCCACACAGAGCACUCAAAAUGUCCCAUAUCGCAUCUUGAAAAUAUCCUCCAUUGGUCAUUUUGAUGUGCAGGGUCAUACACUGCUGUUAAUUUCUUCUCCUUACUGAUUGGUUUCACUCACUGUGCAUUGGCAAUGGUGGAGGCCCCAUUCCUGCAGCUUGUUCUGGCAGAGCUUGCACUCACGGAUCAGGUUUUGCAGCAGGAACCAGAUUCAGAAACCCAGGGUGAAUUUCAGUACAAAGCUGUGAUCCUCAAGUGUCAAAACAAAAACAAUACCCUUCCUCUCCCACCUAUAUGCCCCCAAAAUAACUAAAAAACACAACACUUUCUUUUUUUUUAAGCUGUGAAGCUCCCUGCUAAGAUUUUGGUGUUUCUGGAAGUUUACAUGAUCUCAGCAGAUGGCUGCUAAAGUCCACAGGAAAAGAAUUCCAUGACAAUUACUAAAUAUGCAGAAAUAAUGCUUGGCUCUAGACAUUUCUUAGCUGCAAAUGGCACGAAGCUCAAGGAAAAUGGUAGAUAUUCCUGUCCAGUCCUUACUACCUUCCUUAAACAUUAGUUUAACAUUAUUAUUAUUAUGAGAUGCAAAAUAUUGGUAUUACUGAAUUCUUGAUCUUACCCAGCCUGAUCAUUCCUAUGUUCCUGUUAUCUUCCAUUCCAAAGUUCCUUCUACAUAAUUUUAUUUUCUCACGUUACACUUUCAUUGCUGAAAAUUCCUUACUUGAGAGAUAAGGCUCCAGAAGUGAUAGAGAGACUUACUAGUGAGAUUAAUCCACAUCCCAGUAAGUUUCCUACACCAAGACUUGUAGGUUCCACACUUGGAUUCUGGCAAGUUACAUGAAGAAUCUGAUCUAUGAUGAUGAUGCCUUUUAAUAACAGAUAUUUUUAACACUGCUAUGUACCAGAUUAUUUAAAAACUUGUAGUGUGCUACAUUUGUACAUGAAGAAAAAGACACUGAUCAAUUAUUGGUCUCCUUUUGAAGAAUUAACUGCAUUUAUUUAUAUUCUGGAUGUACUGAUGCAUUUAUCCUGAAGACAAGAUAGCUGUUGCUUACACAGAACACGUACACAUGAGAAAAUAAAGAAACAGUGCAAAUUUGUCCUUUCUAUUUCCUUUCCAAGUUCUAUUCUAGUCAGAUUUUUGUUUGUCUGACCUUGAUCACUUAUUGAUUUUCCGUACAUCUUCUACCUUUGCAGUCUAUUCAUAUUAUCUUUGAAUAUUUCCUCUUGGAUCUUUGGCUUCCAAUUCUUGCAGCAGUAUUCCCUGACACACUUUGAUGUUUUUGUAGGUCACCGACAUACAGCUCUUACCUGCCAGCAGACUUCAAAGCCGGUAACGUUUGGCAGUCAAACCUGUCUCAGGCAUUUUUACUGGUUUGAAGGAGUUACUGAAAUUGAAUGGCAAAUGCUCAGCCAGCACUGGAGUCACAUUCCUAUGUGAGAGAGGACUGCCAGUGUUGCCUUUAUGUGCUGCUACCUGGAUAAAUCUUGAAUUGGUGGUUAUUUGAGGAGUACAGUCCCCAAAACCACUCCACAAAAAACAGUAUUGGGGUGGCAAUGAAGGAAGCAGCCUAAGUUUGUGGGCUCCCUCAGUUCAGACCUCUGGUUCUAGAAGAACAGAAUUUUCUUCCCCAUAGACUUGUGCCUAUGCCAGAUUUUGUUCCCAGCGCAGCUACCAGCAGCAUCUACCAAAGCACAAGAACCAUUUACAGUCACAGAGGGAGCUGCUGACAUACU